UAGCUAGUUGGUAGGGUAAGGGCCUACCAAGGCGACGAUCGGUAGCUGGUCUGAGAGGAUGGCCAGCCACACUGGAACUGAGACACGGUCCAGACUCCUACGGGAGGCAGCAGUGGGGAAUAUUGGACAAUGGGGGGAACCCUGAUCCAGCAAUGCCGCGUGUGUGAAGAAGGCCUGAGGGUUGUAAAGCACUUUCAGUGGGGAGGAGGAUUGAUUGGUUAAGAGCUGAUUAAUUGGACGUUACCUACAGAAGAAGCACCGGCUAACUCCGUGCCAGCAGCCGCGGUAAUACGGAGGGUGCGAGCGUUAAUCGGAAUUACUGGGCGUAAAGGGUGCGUAGGUGGUUGAUUAAGUUAUCUGUAAAAUCCCUGGGCUUAACCUGGGCAGGUCAGAUGAUACUGAUUGACUCGAGUAUGGGAGAGGGUAGUGGAAUUUCCGGUGUAGCGGUGAAAUGCGUAGAGAUCGGAAGGAACACCAGUGGCGAAGGCGGCUACCUGGCCUAAUACUGACACUGAGGCACGAAAGCGUGGGGAGCAAACAGGAUUAGAUACCCUGGUAGUCCACGCUGUAAACGAUGUCAACUAGCUGUUGGUUAUAUGAAUAUAAUUAGUGGCCC
rnacentral:rRNA from 1 species